CUGUGUGACCAUGCAUGGGACCAGGACCAAAUUUUUUCUCAGUCCCAUUCUCAAAUAUCUUAGUCCUGGUCCCAUAUAGUGUUUAUCAAGUCAGUCACUUUACAUGAUUUAUAUUAUAAUUCUAGUCUCAGAUCAUGUUUUAGUUAUUAAUUAUCAGUCCUGGUCCCAUUUGAUCCCAUUUUACAAAAUGGGACCAAACGGGACCAUGAUUUACCCUAUAUAGAUUGGCAGUGAUAGAUAGCUUAGCAGCGGUACAUAGCUUAGCAGCGAGGGAUAGCAUAGCAGCGAUAGAUAGGUUGGCAGCGAUAGAUAGAUUGGCAGCGGUAGAUAAAUUGGCAGCGUUGAUAUGUUAGCAGUGAGGGAUAGCUUAGCAGCGAGGGAUAGCUUAGCAGCGAGGGAUAGCAUAGCAGCGAUAGGCAGCAGUAGCUGGU
rnacentral:sRNA from 1 species